UAUUCUUUUUUGGGAUAAUUGCCUGUAUACCCCUUAUAUGUUUGAAAAUAUCUGAUUUACCCCUACUUUCUUUUUCUUUCUAAAAUACCCCUCAUAUGUUCCACCGUUAUUCCAAAAUACCCCCGCAGUUAUCCCCUGUUAGCUUAACUCGGGUUAAACAUUGGUUAAAUGUAUACUAGAGUUAAAACCUAAAUAAAAUACCUAUUUUGCCCCUACCUUAUUAUACUAAUCCCUUAAGUUGUCCUCUCUUUCUCUCCCUCCCAACUUUCCUCUCCUACGCACGACUU
rnacentral:lncRNA from 1 species